rnacentral:rRNA from 1 species
AGAGUUUGAUCCUGGCUCAGGACUAAUGCUAGCGGCGUGCCUAACACAUGCAAGUCGAACGGUCCCAAUUGCUAUUUGAGAACAGUUGUUUUUCUACAGCUGUUUUAAUUUAGCAAUCGGGAUAGUGGCGAACGGGUGAGUAAUGCAUGGAUAACCUAUUUUUAAGAGGAGGAUAGCCUCGUGAAAACGAGGGUAAUACUCCAUAAGACUCCGAUACAAAAGCAUCGGAGUAAAAGUUCUGAUUUCAUCGGGACACUUGAAAAGGGGUUCAUGUUCUAUUAGCUAGUUGGUGCGGUAAUGGCGUACCAAGGCGAAGAUGGAUAGCCGGCUUGAGAGAGUGUACGGCCACACUGGGAUUGAGAAACGGCCCAGACUCCUACGGGAGGCAGCAGUGAGGAAUUUUCCGCAAUGCCCGAAAGGGUGACGGAGCGACGCCGCGUGGGUGAUGAAGGCCUUCGGGUUGUAAAACCCUGUUAUAAAGGACGAUUAUGACGGUACUUUAUGAGGAAGCAUCGGCUAACUCUGUGCCAGCAGCCGCGGUAAGACAGAGGAUGCAAGCAUUGUCCGGAAUUACUGGGUGUAAAGGGUGUGCAGGUGGUUAAAUAAGUCAAAUGUGAAAUCUAGAUGCUUAACAUCUAAACUGCAUUUGAUACUGUUUGACUUGAGUUUUGGUGAGGAAAGUGGAAUUCCCGGUGGAGCGGUGAAAUGCGUUGAUACCGGGAGGAACACCGAUGGCGAAGGCAGCUUUCCAGCCUAAAACUGACACUGAGACACGAAAGCUAGGGGAGCAAACAGGAUUAGAUACCCUGGUAGUCC